GUACUCACUUAUUCCGAGACGGGCUGCGCGCUCCCAGCAGCACGGGCAGGCAUUUUCCCCGGCUUUGUUUUACAAGGUAUUCAAAUAUUUGUUGAAUGGAUGAGGAAAAUCCCACCCCUUCCCCAACACACGCAGAGAAUCAGCUGUUGGAGAGCUCCAAAGGAUUUCAUCACAACCAUGCUAUUAACCAUGAAAAUCCAUUUACUUCCCGUCAAGGUACUUGUGGUGCAUCAGAAAUCGUGAGUUGUACUCCAUGCUUCAUCACAGCUAAAUCUUGGAAGCAGCCAAUACAUCCAUCAGUGGAACUUUGGUCUUGAGGCCCCUAAUGCUGAGGUCCUCAUUAGUCAUACAGUUAGAAAAUGAAGAUGUGAAGGAUUAUCUUUCUUAACAUCACACAAUUACUCAGGAGCAGAACCACGUCUGGUUUAAUCCUGAAGAGCAAUGUGUAUAAAGUCAAACAGGCCCAGGUUCAGAUUCCAUCUUGUCACUGAAUGAGAAAUGCGACCUUGAGGAAACUGUGUUUGUACAAAUAGAGGCAUCUUUGCAUUUCUUCGACAUUAUCUGCCCAACCUAAUUUCUACCCUAACCGAAAUCUUAAUUCUCUUCUUUUGAUAGCAUAAUUGUUUCCAUGGAAACAACAAAAGAUGUGCCAGUAGUCUACUGCAGGUGAAAAUAAUCAUAACAUAUUUUCAUGUAAACGACUUUAUGAGAAGAGAGACUGAAAAGGGAAAUGAAGCAAAGUGGCAUUCAGAGAGCAGAAGUGUUUGGAUUAAAGUAUUUUCCAGUGGUUUCAGUGAUGUUUAGAGGAGAAUCAGAGAGAGAACUUCAGCCAAUCAUACCUCUUGAUUAGCCUUUGUUUACAAGGGACACUUUAGAAUUUACUGAGAACAAAGGAAGGGGGUUCCUGCUUUGGGAAAUAUAACCAAUUGAUUCCAUUUCUAUAUCACUUUGCAAAUUCUUUGGGGACAGAAUGAAAAAUGUGGAAAUAAAAAUAAAAACCGAUCCCAGAGCCUAUCUGUAAUCCCACAAAUUGUGUGCCUCUUUAAAGUGGUCCAGACAAUGGUCACAAAUUUAAAGAAUAAAAUUUGGACCCUGAAAUGGAAAGGUCCACUCCCUUCACACAUUCACAUCCAUUUCCACUGCAGCCCUCCAUUUCCUGGCACCCAGCCCCUGUGGGACAGGAGGAAGAUCUGCCCAGGGGGUACAAGCAGGAGUUGCCCUGAGUCUCUCCUAUUUCAGGUCUGACCAAAGCUCCGAGGACAACACUGACAAGUCAUGGUGCAAGGAACUGAAGGAGGAGGACUCGAGAGAAGAGUUAAGAGCAGAUAACAGACUGACUCAGUUCCCUCCUGCUCCAGGACUAGGAGAAUGCAGGGAGACUGAGGAGCUAGAAGCACCUUCUUGCAUCUUGGAGGAAUAAUGGGGAUCCACAUCACUGAGCACAUCCUGCUGCCUUCUACCACCUUACAUACCGAUAAGAAACAGAGAGAAGUGCUGCGAUCAGGAAUGAUGGAGAUCACUGCAGAUUCUACAAACAUUAAAAAGAUAAUA